rnacentral:rRNA from 1 species
UUUCGCAAUGCCCGAAAGGGUGACGAAGCGACGCCGCGUGAGUGAGGAAGGCCUUCGGGUUGUAAAGCUCUGUCAGGAGUUAAGAAAUAUAAGUGUGUUAAUACCACAUUUAUUUGACGAAGGCUCCAAAGGAAGCCACGGCUAACUCUGUGCCAGCAGCCGCGGUAAUACAGAGGUGGCAAGCGUUGUUCGGAAUUAUUGGGCGUAAAGAGCACGUAGGUGGGUUUGUAAGUCAGAUGUGAAAGCCUUCUGUUCAACGGAAGAAUUGCAUCUGAAACUGCGAGUCUUGAGUGUAGGAGGGGAGAAUGGAACCUCUGGUGGAGCGGUGAAAUGCGUAGAUAUCAGAAGGAACGCCGGCGGCGAAAGCGAUUCUCUGGCCUAUUACUGACACUCAGUGUGCGAAAGCUAGGGGAGCAAACGGGAUUAGAUACCCCGGUAGUCCUAGCUGUAAACGAUGGGCACUAAGUAGAGGGGUUUUA